GAUGAACGAUGGCGGCGUGCCUAAUACAUGCAAGUCGAGCGAACCACUUCGGUGGUGAGCGGCGAACGGGUGAGUAACACGUAGGUGAUCUGCCCAUCAGACGGGGACAACGAUUGGAAACGAUCGCUAAUACCGGAUAGGACGAAAGUUUAAAGGUGCUUCUGGCACCGCUGAUGGAUGAGCCUGCGGCGCAUUAGCUAGUUGGUAGGGUAAAGGCCUACCAAGGCGACGAUGCGUAGCCGACCUGAGAGGGUGAACGGCCACACUGGGACUGAGACACGGCCCAGACUCCUACGGGAGGCAGCAGUAGGGAAUCUUCGGCAGUGGGCGAAAGCCUGACCGAGCAACGCCGCGUGAAUGAUGAAGGCCUUCGGGUUGUAAAAUUCUGUUAUAAGGGAAGAACGACUUUAGUAGGAAAUGGCUAGAGUGUGACGGUACCUUAUGAGAAAGCCACGGCUAACUACGUGCCAGCCGCCGCAGUAAAAC
rnacentral:rRNA from 1 species